UGCAAGUCGAACGGUGAAGGCGGAGCUUGCUCUGCUGGAUCAGUGGCGAACGGGUGAGUAACACGUGAGCAAUCUGCCCCUGACUCUGGGAUAAGCGCUGGAAACGGCGUCUAAUACUGGAUACGAGCUGCGAAGGCAUCUUCAGCAGCUGGAAAGAACUUCGGUCAGGGAUGAGCUCGCGGCCUAUCAGCUUGUUGGUGAGGUAACGGCUCACCAAGGCGUCGACGGGUAGCCGGCCUGAGAGGGUGACCGGCCACACUGGGACUGAGACACGGCCCAGACUCCUACGGGAGGCAGCAGUGGGGAAUAUUGCACAAUGGGCGAAAGCCUGAUGCAGCAACGCCGCGUGAGGGACGACGGCCUUCGGGUUGUAAACCUCUUUUAGCAGGGAAGAAGCGAAAGUGACGGUACCUGCAGAAAAAGCGCCGGCUAACUACGUGCCAGCAGCCGCGGUAAUACGUAGGGCGCAAGCGUUAUCCGGAAUUAUUGGGCGUAAAGAGCUCGUAGGCGGUUUGUCGCGUCUGCUGUGAAACCCCGAGGCUCAACCUCGGGCCUGCAGUGGGUACGGGCAGACUAGAGUGCGGUAGGGGAGAUUGGAAUUCCUGGUGUAGCGGUGGAAUGCGCAGAUAUCAGGAGGAACACCGAUGGCGAAGGCAGAUCUCUGGGCCGUAACUGACGCUGAGGAGCGAAAGGGUGGGGAGCAAACAGGCUUAGAUACCCUGGUAGUCCACCCCGUAAACGUUGGGAACUAGUUGUGGGGUCCAUUCCACGGAUUCCGUGACGCAGCUAACGCAUUAAGUUCCCCGCCUGGGGAGUACGGCCGCAAGGCUAAAACUCAAAGGAAUUGACGGGGACCCGCACAAGCGGCGGAGCAUGCGGAUUAAUUCGAUGCAACGCGAAGAACCUUACCAAGGCUUGACAUAUACGAGAACGGGCCAGAAAUGGUCAACUCUUUGGACACUCGUAAAC
rnacentral:rRNA from 1 species